UUCGGGCUGGGCUACUGGUCCGCGGGUCUGAGCCUUCUCUCAUGAGCCUGGGCGGUUGUUUUGGUUUUUUUUUUUGCCCCAUUUUUUUUUGGGCUAUUUUCAGCGUUGUUUUAUUUUAUUUCUUUUCUAUUUAUUUUAAUAGAUUAGAAUGGGAUUCCACGAAUGGGCCACAAAGAAUUAUUUAUUUUAUUUUGUUUUUCUUCGCAUGUCGUGGAUGUUUUAAUUUUGCAAUAGCAUGUAGUGUAUGUCUUUGCUUUGUUUUUUAACUGCGCUUAGACGAGUAUGCUAAGUUUUAUCGC
rnacentral:lncRNA from 1 species